UACAGAGGGUGUAAGCGUUAAUCGGAAUUACUGGGCGUAAAGCGCACGUAGGCGGUUUUUUAAGUCAGAUGUGAAAGCCCCGGGCUCAACCUGGGAAUUGCAUUUGAAACUGGGAAACUAGAGUGUGUGAGAGGGGGGUAGAAUUCCAAGUGUAGCGGUGAAAUGCGUAGAGAUUUGGAGGAAUACCAGUGGCGAAGGCGGCCCCCUGGCACAACACUGACGCUCAGGUGCGAAAGCGUGGGGAGCAAACAGG
rnacentral:rRNA from 1 species